rnacentral:rRNA from 1 species
ACAAAAACAUAACCUUUAGCCAAACAAAUAUUAAAGGCAACGCCUGCCCAGUGAACACUUAAACGGCCGCGGUACCCUAACCGUGCAAAGGUAGCAUAAUCAUUUGUCUAUUAACUGUAGACCUGUAUGAAAGGCAAAAUGAGGGCUUGACUGUCUCUUAUAAUAAAUCUAUUAAACUGAUCUCCCAGUAAAAAAGCUGGGGUGUCCCCAUAAGACCAGAAGACCCUGUGAAGCUUAAACUAAACUAUUAAACCCUAUAAUAACUACUUUCGGUUGGGGCGACCUUGGAAAAAAGAAUAACUUCCAAACACACAUGUAUGCCAUUACCAUCAGGCCAACAAGCCAACAAAUGACCCAGCAAAGCUGAUAAUUGAACAAAGUUACUCCAGGGAUAACAGCGCCAUCUUCUUCAAGAGCCCAUAUCAAAAAGAAGGUUUACGACCUCGAUGUUGGAUCAGGACAUCCUAAUGGUGCAGCCGCUAUUAAGGGUUCGUUUGUUCAACGACUAAUGUCCUACGUGAUCUG